rnacentral:rRNA from 1 species
CGAACGCUGGCGGCGCGUUUUAAGCAUGCAAGUCGAACGGUAGAUAGUGCUUGCACUAUCGAGAGUGGCGAACGGGUGAGUAACACGUAGAUGAUCUGCCUUGAAGUUGGGGAUAGCCUAUAGAAAUAUGGGGUAAUACCGAAUAAUUUCUUAGCGCUUUGGUGCUUUGAGGAAAGGGGCUUCGGCCUCGCUUUAAGAUGAGUCUGCGGUCUAUUAGCUAGUUGGUAGGGUAAGAGCCUACCAAGGCGACGAUAGAUAGCCGGCCUGAGAGGGUGACCGGCCACAUUGGGACUGAGACACGGCCCAAACUCCUACGGGAGGCAGCAGCUAAGAAUCUUCCGCAAUGGGCGCAAGCCUGACGGAGCGACGCCGCGUGGACGAAGAAUGCCGAGAGGUUGUAAAGUCCUUUUAUAUGCGAAGAAUAAUGCCUGUAGGUAAUGACAGGCAGAUGACGUUAGCUUAUGAAUAAGCUCCGGCCAAUUAC